AGUUAACGUUGGCGGCGUGCCUAACACAUGCAAGUCGAACGCGUCCUAAGGGCAACUUUAGGAUGAGUGGCGAACGGGUGAGUAUCACGUGGGUAAUCUUCCUUCAAGUGGGGAAUAAGCUCUCGAAAGGGAGUCUAAUACCGCAUGACAUUCCGGGACACAAGUCCCGUAAUCAAAGCCGCAAGGCGCUUGAAGAUGAGCCUGCGUCCUAUUAGCUAGUUGGUGGGGUAACGGCCUACCAAGGCUUAGAUGGGUAGCCGGCCUGAGAGGGUGAACGGCCACACUGGGACUGAGACACGGCCCAGACUCCUACGGGAGGCAGCAGUGAGGAAUUUGCGCAAUGGGGGAAACCCUGACGCAGCGACGCCGCGUGGAGGAUGAAGGCCUUCGGGUCGUAAACUCCUGUCAGAGGUGAAGAAUACCCGCAAGGGUUUGACGGUAACCUCAGAGGAAGCCCCGGCUAACUACGUG
rnacentral:rRNA from 1 species